UGCCGGUACCCCCGCGACGCGAGGUUGUGAACCCCGUCAGGCCCGAGAGGGAGCAGCGGCAGCAGCGGAGCGGGUGCUGGGGCGUGGCUGGCACGG
rfam:Chromatiales bacterium TSCg_Taylor scaffold_45, whole genome shotgun sequence.